rnacentral:rRNA from 1 species
UACGUAGGGUGCGAGCGUUGUCCGGAAUUAUUGGGCGUAAAGAGCUCGUAGGCGGUGUGUCGCGUCGGCCGUGAAAACCUGCAGCUUAACUGUGGCGUGCGGUCGAUACGGGCAUCACUGGAGUUCGGCAGGGAGACUGGAAUUCCUGGUGUAGCGGUGAAAUGCGUAGAUAUCGAGAGGAACACCUGCGGCGAAGGCGGUUGCUGGCGACACUGACGCUGAUGCGCGAAAGCCAGGGAGCGAACGGG